UACGUAGGGUGCGAGCGUUGUCCGGAAUUAUUGGGCGUAAAGGGCUCGUAGGCGGUGUGUCGCGUCGGCCGUGAAAACCUGGGGCUCAACUCUGGGCGUGCGGUCGAUACGGGCAUCACUUGAGUUCGGCAGGGGAGACUGGAAUUCCUGGUGUAGCGGUGAAAUGCGCAGAUAUCAGGAGGAACACCGGUGGCGAAGGCGGGUCUCUGGGCCGAUACUGACGCUGAGGAGCGAAAGCAUGGGUAGCGAACAGG
rnacentral:rRNA from 1 species